CUAGACCACGGCAUUGUCAUUCGAUUCUUGAGUCAUGCGAGACCGUAACCGCUUCGUCUCGCACCACCGUACGCAGAACUAUCUACAAACGGCAUGGGACACAAGGAGAUAUCGUUUUAUACGUUGAGGCAGACGACAAGUUCUGCUUAUCUAUCGGUACGAGACAGCUGACGCGAGCCCGUCUCUUCUAAUCGCACCGUAUGGAUAAAAUAUCUACCGGUACUUCACGACACGUUCCGGGAGACAUCGGGAGAAUCUCCGGGUUCAUCUUUGAGGAGAUCUGCGGUGCUCAAAACAGCAGACAGACGACUAGGCCUUUCCCAGGCAUUAGACAAGGAACUCUGACAGCAGAAGUCGUGACUGCAGAAUCAGUGAACAGUUCUGAAACACGGUUGGACCUGUGCUGGGGGAAGGAGUACUGCGUGUGACAGGAGGGUGACACGACAGGCAGCAAAGCCUAAGUUACCUAGGAAUCCUGCAAGGUAUCCCCCACAAGCAAAAUUCAUGUCUGGACGCACUAAGAGAGGAGCUGGGUAAGGGAGGUGCCAGGCAGCAGCGCCACUGAAGGUGUUUAUCGACAUCAGUCCAUCACCAAGCCAAGGAGGCACCAAGCCCAACACGUAGGGUGUUUUUCUGAAUUCAGAGUAAAGCGGU